GGCUCGUCUGAAGGUAGUGAGUUAUCUCAAUUGAUUGUUCACAGUCAGUUACAGAUUGAACUCCUUGUUCUACUCUUUCCCCGCUUCUCACUACUGCACUUGACUAGUCUUUA
ensembl:Y_RNA Y_RNA Y RNA